UUCCUUUCCCUCUACUUCAUCAUCUGUGGAACAUGAUCAUGUAGCUGCUGAUGCUGCAGUUACGGUUCCAAGUAACAACUCAUCUGAGAAGCCACCUCUCUGUACUAAAGAUCAAGAGAAGGAAGGAGAGCCAACCAAAAUCUCUGAGUACUUUUUCAGUGACAUCUUUAUGGAAGUGGAUGAUUCAGAAUAGCAAAUGGGUUUUAUAAGAACUAGGAUCACAGAAUAUACUGCAACAAGAAAAGAGUAUUUUAAAAGUUGCAAUUUGUUCUGAUAUUCAUUAUGCCACACUUAAUGUCAACCAGUAAUAACAGUACAGAUAAAAUACCAGGAAAGUGAUCUCUUUAACAUUCAGGGGAAACUGAACGUUCUCCAAAAGUGACGUAACAGAUUCAAAGGAGAAGAUGGAAAGGAAAAGCUGGAAAGCCUCAUCUCCUGCUCCUCCUUUAACAAACUGGGUGCAAUUACUAAUAAAGCCCUGAAACAUGCUAUUGGAACUGGGACGCAGGGUUGGACAAAGAAACCAUGAACCAAACAUACCUUUAACAAGCUCCAGUACCUAUGUAAACUCCCUAUAAACCAUUGUCACCGAGCCCAGCACAAUAACAACCCAAAUCCGUGCCCCUCUACUGUAAAAGCUACAUGUUAGGGACAAUACUGGAUCUGUCUCCAGAUAAGAAAAUAAGCCUAGGGACCAGAAGGGUAUUAAAACCUCAAAACAACCUAGGGACCAGAGACAGGUAAAGGCCUCCACCCAGAGAGACAUUGUGAAUUCAAGCAACAUGGCUACUGGCUGUUUUAUCUCAAUACAGAGUAAGUAGAACCAAAACGCAACCAGGACAGGCUUUUUUCACUUUCUUGAGCCACAUGUUGGGCAACAAAAAAAAAAAAAAGUAUUUGCCCUGGUUUAGGGCACAUUUGGAAGGAAGCUUUCAAAGGGGUCCCUCUAGAAAGCAAAUUCAAGUGGCCCUCCCCCAACUGGUUUGUAAAGAUUUCCUUGGAGAAAAGUGGAAAAAACCUGUUUAUUUAAUGAAGUAUUCACAAGCAUAAAAAGUGAACAAUACUAAACAAUAAAAUCUCUUGCUGUUCUGAAGAGAUGGCACAUUCAGAAAGUCCUUUUCUUGGGGUGUAGCUCAGCUCACUUGGUCUGUUACCAGUUCCUCCUGUGCUGGAAAAUGCUGCGUCCUGGGCUCCAGUGGGCCACAGGUGUGAGGUGCUUGUAUUUUUCUGGGUUUGCAGUCCAGAACAAGGCUGAUCAGUUCCUGAAGAAAGAAAGGCCAGUCCAGGGAACUUCUCUGCUUCAGCUGGCUAAAAACUAACUAAAAGCAAAGGAGAGCUCUCUCCUGCCCUCUGUCCGUUCUUCAGAGAACACAGUCUGUGAGAGAGAACGCAAAGGAGCAAGUGCAGCUUCUGAUAACAAACUCUGCGCUUCUUCUCUCCCCCUGGUGCAGUACUUAAUGUCCAGCAUAAACAGAGUAGACAGCUGGGGAUACGAGCAUCAUAGUCACCCUAGGACAUGUUGUUAAUUAAUGCUGUGAAGAUGAAAUGGAUUCUUUCUGAAGCCACCCAGGAACUUUCAAAAUGCUGGCAUAGUCUAAACCACUACAAUGAUGUCAUAGGACCAGACUAUUUGCUGACUGCCGGCUUAUGGUUUCCCUUGUUUAGACACUGAUAGUGAGUGUAUGACUAUCCUACAGAAAAGUGCAAUGAAAUAAUGUUUAAUCUUGGAAAAUAUCCUUUUCCAUUUUAAUGCUAAAGCUUCUUGGUACUGACUAUUCAAGUUCUUUACUUCUUUUUGUGAAGUAUGUUACGUUAGAAGGAGGAAUUAACUUUUUGGGUAUAAUGUAAUUUCUGAAGAUCAGAAUACAAGUAUUGGAAGUGGUGUAGUGAAUACAUACCUGUAUACAUCAAGCACUGCAAGUGUUUUUAUUUAAAUUUCCAAAUUACAUAUUUUUGUAAGAGUUUUUUAACCACAUAAUUUAAAAGAUCGUAAUCUGAAAAGCCCAUAGGAUUGGUUCCUUAAAAAUUUGUUGAAAAUUUAAAAACACAGUUUACUAGAAGAUGAUAGGUAACACAAGGUUAAUGUUUGCAACUUUUUUUAUCACUUGGAGGAGGAGAUUGCUGUUUCCUAGUAUAAAUGCUAAUUUUCUUCUAAAUUGGAAAACAAAGCUAGAGAUACAAUUUAUUUUCCUUAUUUUCACAUGUAGUUGUUUGUAUAUUUACUGACUUCCUCAUUUUCCCUUGUGCACAGUAGCACAAAGAGAUUGGAUUUAAACCAUGAUUAUAAAAUGUCACUUUUGAGGGUUUGCUGCUUUGAAGCACUUGAAUUAAAAGGGUUUUCUUACGUGCAUGUCUGCUUGUACUGUAACUUGCCAUAAAAUUCUGGUUUAUCUUUAGAUUUUAGUUUAAGUUUUUAUUUACCUCAUCAAGAAAUAUAUCUGGGUGAGGUAAUUAGGUUUAUGCACUCUCAAAUUCAGGUGGUCGCUGAAAGAGUCAAUACUUAGUCUGAAACUCCUGCUUGCAGGAGCUUGAGUAGUCUUAAAAUUUUUCCCAUUACUUACAGGUACUUUGCAAAGCAAUUUAUUAUGAAGCUGAAACUGAUGUUUAAAUAGUAUUGUUAAUGCUCUCAAGAGACCUAUCAUCAGGUUUGGACUGGGUAAUCUUUUACUGGCAGGAAAAUUAUAUAAAUAUGUAGUUAAUUUUGAAAUAGUUGAUGAAGUUUGACAAACAUUUUGAUGGCAGGUAAAGAAUAUAAAUAUGUGGUUAAUUUUGAAAUAGUUGAUGAAGUUUGACAAAACAUUUGAGAAUGUUUUCAUUUUCAGAAGUUACCGGCAAGGCUUCUGAAGGAACCUUUAAACUUUUGUCAGAGAAGAGACAUACAGAAAAAAAGCUACUGUUACUGCAAAUUGGUAUAUUAGCUCUGCCAGUGAAAUGUCACUAGCAGCAGUAUUCCGUGAGGCGAUGGAAAAGGGACUAGUGGUCCCAGUGUAGAGUAACUUACUUGAAAGCAUCUGAUCAAUCCACCUCACUCCCCCAAAAAACCCUCAAAAAUACCAACAACAGUUUCUGUUCGAAUGGUAUCUUGUGCUUUGCCUAAUCCAUUUAACUUGAAAUGUUUAUCUAAAUAUUGUUUUACUGUAAACAUUAUGAAAGAGAUUAAUGUAUACAUGUAACUCUAUGUAUUGUAUAUCUUGUAGAUAUUAAGUAUGCAAGUGUUUACUUCCUGAUAUGUCUGGCAUGUUUAUAUCAAUUGCACUCAUAGAGCCUAAAAAUAGAUUCUUGGGGAGUGGCUAUGAAAUAAUUGCUGUGAGUACCUUCUGAGUGGGUUCUGAGGGGAUAAUCAUUCUACAUUUAGUUGCAUACAUUUUAGCUUGCAUUCAUGUUACAAAGGGGGAAAAAAUCAACUACUUCAUUACUAAUAUUUAUGGUGCCUUAUCUGCAUUGUUAAUUGGGGCUAUGCUUUGUUUUUCCUUGCAGCAAAUACCAUGCACUUUGUUAGAGGAAUUUUUUUUAAGAACAAAUUUAAUUUGAAUAGAAAUAAGAGAAUUUUGUGUUUUGUUUUGUGUGUGGAAGUUUUAUAAUGAUGAAGGAUGUAAGAAAAUAUCGUUGAAAUCUCAAUACAUAUGAGUAGCAUUUUUACAAAGAUGUGGCAUAAAACUGCUUUGCUUAGAGUUGUCUGAUGCCCUGUAUCAUCACAUAUAAGAUUUCUGUGUCAAAGGAAGUAGUCCUAUUCUGUAUGUAAAUUAUGUGAAUAAAUUAUUUUCUUUUA